GAUGAACGCUGGCGGCGUGCCUAAUACAUGCAAGUCGAGCGAACAGACGAGGAGCUUGCUCCUCUGACGUUAGCGGCGGACGGGUGAGUAACACGUGGAUAACCUACCUAUAAGACUGGGAUAACUUCGGGAAACCGGAGCUAAUACCGGAUAAUAUAUUGAACCGCAUGGUUCAAUAGUGAAAGACGGUUUUGCUGUCACUUAUAGAUGGAUCCGCGCCGCAUUAGCUAGUUGGUAAGGUAACGGCUUACCAAGGCAACGAUGCGUAGCCGACCUGAGAGGGUGAUCGGCCACACUGGAACUGAGACGCGGUCCAGACUCCUACGGGAGGCAGCAGUAGGGAAUCUUCCGCAGUGGGCGGAAGCCUGACGGAGCAACGCCGCGUGAGUGAUGAAGGUCUUCGGAUCGUAAAACUCUGUUAUUAGGGAAGAACAAAUGUGUAAGUAACUAUGCACGUCUUGACGGUACCUAAUCAGAAAGCCACGGCUAACUACGUG
rnacentral:rRNA from 1 species